GGCGAUGUAGCUCAAUGGUAGAGCACUACUUAACAUACCUAGAGCCCUGGAUUCAAUCCCCAGCACCA
rnacentral:tRNA from 1 species